AGGGCUAGUCCAGUGACUCAUGUUGGGACGCCGAGUCGAGACGUGCACUAAGUCGGGACACGAGCAGACGGAGUGUCACACAGACGGAGUGCCAUAGUGGUGCGAGGUGCCAGGAGGUAGCACGAGGCUGCUGACGGACAGGAUUCAGCUGGUCAGUGCGACUCUGCGAGAGAAGUGAAGAGAGAAGAGAAGAGAGGAAGAAAACCAAUUAUGGCGUUGAAAUCCUGUUUCACAUUGACCGUAGCAACUUCGGUGUGUCUGCUGCUGCUGGUGAUGCUGCUGCCUCUCUGCGGUGAGGCGGCGCCGCAGCAGUAUGAUCAGUCCCUCCCAGUGAACACGGAGACUUCAGUGGUGGUGGGAUCUGGCUGUUCGAGGGGAUUCGAGCGCUGCGGAGACGGCCGCUGCUGCCGCAUCAACACGCCGUUCAGCUGUCCGCCAGGAUACUUCUUCAUUGGAGGACGGUGCAUCAGACUGUUCUAGGAGCCUUGGUAGUUGGUUGACCUGUGUAAAAUCAGCAUGCAGGUACAGAGACUCUGGCUUGUUAUGUAUGAAUAUUGAAUUUAUUACUUACUGCCAUCAGCGUUUUGCCCUGCUUUGCAUGUUGUGAAGGCUCAGCUUGUUCAAUGUGCGAAGUUGAAAUACAUGAUGAGCGCUU